CGUUAAUGGGUGAUGGCGUGCCUUUUGUAGAAUGAACCGGCGAGUUACGAUUUGAUGCAAGGUUAAGCAGUAAAUGUGGAGCCGUAGCGAAAGCGAGUCUGAAUAGGGCGUUUAGUAUUUGGUCGUAGACCCGAAACCAGGUGAUCUACCCUUGGUCAGGUUGAAGUUCAGGUAACACUGAAUGGAGGACCGAACCGACUUACGUUGAAAAGUGAGCGGAUGAACUGAGGGUAGCGGAGAAAUUCCAAUCGAACCUGGAGAUAGCUGGUUCUCUCCGAAAUAGCUUUAGGGCUAGCCUCAAGUGAUGAUUAUUGGAGGUAGAGCACUGUUUGGACGAGGGGCCCCUCUCGGGUUACCGAAUUCAGACAAACUCCGAAUGCCAAUUAAUUUAACUUGGGAGUCAGAACAUGGGUGAUAAGGUCCGUGUUCGAAAGGGAAACAGCCCAGACCACCAGCUAAGGUCCCAAAAUAUAUGUUAAGUGGAAAAGGAUGUGGCGUUGCCCAGACAACUAGGAUGUUGGCUUAGAAGCAGCCAUCAUUUAAAGAGUGCGUAAUAGCUCACUAGUCGAGUGACACUGCGCCGAAAAUGUACCGGGGCUAAACAUAUUACCGAAGCUGUGGAUUGUCCUUUGGACAAUGGUAGGAGAGCGUUCUAAGGGCGUUGAAGCAUGAUCGUAAGGACAUGUGGAGCGCUUAGAAGUGAGAAUGCCGGUGUGAGUAGCGAAAGACGGGUGAGAAUCCCGUCCACCGAUUGACUAAGGUUUCCAGAGGAAGGCUCGUCCGCUCUGGGUUAGUCGGGUCCUAAGCUGAGGCCGACAGGCGUAGGCGAUGGAUAACAGGUUGAUAUUCCUGUACCACCUAUAAUCGUUUUA
rnacentral:rRNA from 1 species